GAUGAACGCUGGCGGCGUGCCUAAUACAUGCAAGUCGAGCGAACGGACGAGCAGCUUGCUUCUCUGAUGUUAGCGGCGGACGGGUGAGUAACACGUGGAUAACCUACCUAUAAGACUGGGAUAACUUCGGGAAACCGGAGCUAAUACCGGAUAAUAUUUUGAACCGCAUGGUUCAAAAGUGAAAGACGGUCUUGAUGUCACUUAUAGAUGGAUCCGCGCUGCAUUAGCUAGUUGGUAAGGUAACGGCUUACCAAGGCAACGAUGCAUAGCCGACCUGAGAGGGUGAUCGGCCACACUGGAACUGAGACACGGUCCAGACUCCUACGGGAGGCAGCAGUAGGGAAUCUUCCGCAAUGGGCGAAAGCCUGACGGAGCAACGCCGCGUGAGUGAUGAAGGUCUUCGGAUCGUAAAACUCUGUUAUUAGGGAAGAACAUAUGUGUAAGUAACUGUGCACAUCUUGACGGUACCUAAUCAGAAAGCCACGGCUAACUACGUG
rnacentral:rRNA from 1 species